UGCCUACUGAGCUGAAACACAGUUGGUUUGUGCACACUGGCUCAGUUCAGCAGGAACA
rnacentral:pre_miRNA from 2 species